UACGUAGGGUGCAAGCGUUAAUCGGAAUUACUGGGCGUAAAGCGUGCGCAGGCGGUGAUGUAAGACAGGUGUGAAAUCCCCGGGCUUAACCUGGGAACUGCAUUUGUGACUGCAUCGCUGGAGUGCGGCAGAGGGGGAUGGAAUUCCGCGUGUAGCAGUGAAAUGCGUAGAUAUGCGGAGGAACACCGAGUGGCGAAGGCAAUCCCCUGGGCCUGCACUGACGCUCAUGCACGAAAGCGUGGGGAGCAAACAGG
rnacentral:rRNA from 1 species